GACCGACCCCACAGCAGGGGCUGCCCCAUAGCAUGGACUGACCCAUAGUAUGGGCCAACCCAUAGCAUGGACUGACCCAUAGUAUGGGCCAACCUAGAGCACGGGCUGCCCCAUAGCAUGGACUGACCCAUAGUAUGGGUUGACUCACAGCAUGAACUGCUCCACAGUACCCCCAGCGCACCCAAAGUAUGGGGAAGGGGCUUUGGGGGGGAG
rnacentral:lncRNA from 1 species